UAAGGAAUAUUGGUCAAUGGAGGCAACUCUGAACCAGCCAUGCCGCGUGAAGGAUUAAGGCCCUCUGGGUUGUAAACUUCUUUUAUAUGGGAAGAAAUGUUCUGAUUCUUCAGAGCUUGACGGUACCAUAGGAAUAAGCACCGGCUAACUCCGUGCCAGCAGCCGCGGUAAUACGGAGGGUGCAAGCGUUAUCCGGAUUCACUGGGUUUAAAGGGUGCGUAGGUGGGCAGAUAGGUCAGUGGUGAAAUCUUCCGGCUUAACCGGAAAAUUGCCGUUGAUACUAAUUGUCGUGAAUAUUGUGGAGGUAAGCGGAAUAUGUCAUGUAGCGGUGAAAUGCUUAGAUAUGACAUAGAACACCAAUUGCGAAGGCAGCUUACUAUAUAAUUAUUGACACUGAGGCACGAAAGCGUGGGUAGCGAACA
rnacentral:rRNA from 1 species